GUGGAAAAGAAAGCAGAAAAGCCAUAACUAACGAAUGUGCACUGUGGUAAGAUCCGUGGGGAGUGUCUCAGGCUGAGCUCCCAGAAGCAGACCUCGAUACAAAGGUAUGUGUGCAAGCAAUCUGUCUGGGACAUGUUCCCAGGAAGCUCCCGGGGGGAGUGAAAAGUGGAAAGAAAAGGAAGAGAAAGAACAAGCCGCUCUGGGCUUCUCUGGGCUCAGGCCCCUGGGGACUUGGAGAGACAGUAUGGAGCAAGUUCCCAAGCAGCCCAGACCGGGUGCCGCAGCUGGAGCAUCCACGGCCAGCCCCUGGCACACUGUGUGGGGCUGCUCCCACGACCUCCAGGCCGCUCUCUGGCCCGUCAGGUGGUUUCCAGAAGCUGACAAGGGCUCCAGGGUGAAAAAGCCACAGGUUCUUGGAGCUGGGAGCCACCAGGAGGUGCUUCCAAGAGCAGGACGCCCUGUGCCUCCUCUUCUGCUGGGGUUGCGACAGCAGACGCUUUGCUGUACUGACCCCACUGAGGCUGCGCUGUCUGCUCCAUAACCCACUGGCUUGCCUUCUCCUAAUUCAUCACAGGUUUUUGAGGAAGGGAGUACUGUUGACAAAUCUUGUUUUAGAAGAAGACCUUGACCAGCUAAGCUUUAGAGAUGGUAAGCAGAAUUGAAUUUAUGAACAUUUUUGUUCUAAUAUUUUGAUGAAACUGAAGAUGUAAAAUGGUGGCUGACCAUGGACUAAACAAGGAACUCUCACUGGGAUGGAGCAGAAGAUUAAAUAUGGGCCUUGGCCCCGGGGGACUGUAAGUUUUAACCAUUGCUCUGCCACAUAGAGAUGGGACCUCUUCAGCUUCUGACUCGAGAGACGUCUGCUUCAGUUUCUUCCCAGCGUCUUGGGGACCACAGCCACAUGAUAGAGACUAGAAGCCACCAAGCCUUGUCCCUCACCUCCAGGCCUGGGCCAAAGUCCUUCAUCCUCAGACUUGUGCUUAAGAACAGUUAACCCUCUGGAAGCUGGAUGAUUCAGUGGUCUUCAAAUGUUCCUGAUUACACAACACUCUCAAUGAAAAAAAGAAAGUACAUAUAUCCAAUAACUGUGUUUUUUUAAUUAAAAGGCACAAACUUAUCAGGAAAAAAAAUGUUUCCAAUGAUAUGUGUCUCUCUGUCUUUCAUUAUUAAGUAAGAAACUUCAAAGAGCUCCAUACAAAGUCUCAUAAAACGUUGAAUUGAUUAUUCACACCUUUGAGAUUACUGAUUAAAUUGCAGAGGUUUCUUUCUGUGCUCUUGAAGGCCCAGUUUUUUAAAGUCUCACUAAUCAUAGACGACUCAUACCCUUACUGCUUCAUAUCUCCAGAUAAUGUAAUGUAAUGUAAUAUAAUAUAAUAUGAUAUAAUAAAUGUAAGAUGGGGUUCA
rnacentral:lncRNA from 1 species